rnacentral:rRNA from 1 species
GACGAACGCUGGCGGCGUGCUUAACACAUGCAAGUCGAACGAUGAAGCCUAGCUUGCUAGGUGGAUUAGUGGCGAACGGGUGAGUAAUACGUGAGUAACCUACCUUUAACUCUGGGAUAAGCCUGGGAAACUGGGUCUAAUACCGGAUACGACCAAUCUCCGCAUGGGGUGUUGGUGGAAAGCGUUAUGUAGUGGUUAUAGAUGGGCUCACGGCCUAUCAGCUUGUUGGUGAGGUAACGGCUCACCAAGGCGACGACGGGUAGCCGGCCUGAGAGGGUGACCGGCCACACUGGGACUGAGACACGGCCCAGACUCCUACGGGAGGCAGCAGUGGGGAAUAUUGCACAAUGGGCGCAAGCCUGAUGCAGCGACGCCGCGUGAGGGAUGACGGCCUUCGGGUUGUAAACCUCUGUUAGCAGGGAAGAAGAGAAAUUGACGGUACCUGCAGAGAAAGCGCCGGCUAACUACGUGCCAGCAGCCGCGGUAAUACGUAGGGCGCGAGCGUUGUCCGGAAUUAUUGGGCGUAAAGAGCUUGUAGGCGGUUUGUCGCGUCUGCUGUGAAGGCCGGGGCUUAACCCCGUGUAUUGCAGUGGGUACGGGCAGACUAGAGUGCAGUAGGGGAGACUGGAAUUCCUGGUGUAGCGGUGGAAUGCGCAGAUAUCAGGAGGAACACCGAUGGCGAAGGCAGGUCUCUGGGCUGUAACUGACGCUGAGAAGCGAAAGCAUGGGGAGCGAACAGGAUUAGAUACCCUGGUAGUCCAUGCCGUAAACGUUGGGCACUAGGUGUGGGGGACAUUCCACGUUUUCCGCGCCGUAGCUAACGCAUUAAGUGCCCCGCCUGGGGAGUACGGCCGCAAGGCUAAAACUCAAAGAAAUUGACGGGGGCCCGCACAAGCGGCGGAGCAUGCGGAUUAAUUCGAUGCAACGCGAAGAACCUUACCAAGGCUUGACAUAUACUGGACCGCAUCAGAGAUGGUGUUUCCCUUCGGGGCUGGUAUACAGGUGGUGCAUGGUUGUCGUCAGCUCGUGUCGUGAGAUGUUGGGUUAAGUCCCGCAACGAGCGCAACCCUCGUUCUAUGUUGCCAGCACGUUAUGGUGGGGACUCAUAGGAGACUGCCGGGGUCAACUCGGAGGAAGGUGGGGAUGACGUCAAAUCAUCAUGCCCCUUAUGUCUUGGGCUUCACGCAUGCUACAAUGGCCGGUACAGAGGGUUGCGAUACUGUGAGGUGGAGCUAGUCCCUAAAAGCCGGUCUCAGUUCGGAUUGGGGUCUGCAACUCGACCCCAUGAAGUCGGAGUCGCUAGUAAUCGCAGAUCAGCAACGCUGCGGUGAAUACGUUCCCGGGCCU